CCCCUAGUAACUGCGAGUGAAGCGGGAAAAGCUCAAAUUUAAAAUCUGGCGGCCUCGGCCGUCCGAGUUGUAGUCUGGAGAAGCGUUUUCCGCGUUGGACCGUGUACAAGUUUCCUGGAACGGAGCGUCAUAGAGGGUGAGAAUCCCGUCUUUGACACGGACCCCAAUGCUUUGUGAUGCGCUCUCAAAGAGUCGAGUUGUUUGGGAAUGCAGCUCAAAAUGGGUGGUGAAUUCCAUCUAAAGCUAAAUAUUGGCGAGAGACCGAUAGCGAACAAGUACCGUGAGGGAAAGAUGAAAAGCACUUUGGAAAGAGAGUUAAACAGUACGUGAAAUUGUUGAAAGGGAAACGCUUGAAGUCAGUCGCGUCGGCCGGGACUCAGCCUUGCUUCCGCUUGGUGUACUUUCCGGUCGACGGGCCAGCAUCAAUUUUGACCGCGAGAUAAAGGUGGAGGAAAUGUGGCUCUCUCGGGAGUGUUAUAGUCCUCUGUCACAUGUCGCGGUUGGGAUUGAGGAACUCAGCACGCCUUUAUGGCCGGGGUUCGCCCACGUUCGUGCUUAGGAUGCUGGCGUAAUGGCUUUAAACGACCCGUCUUGAAACACGGACCAAGGAGUCUAACAUGCCUGCGAGUGUUCGGGUGGAAAACCCGUGCGCGUAAUGAAAGUGAAAGUUGGGAUCCCUGUCGUGGGGUGCACCGACGCCCGGACCAGAACUUCUGUGACGGAUCUGCGGUAGAGCAUGUAUGUUGGGACCCGAAAGAUGGUGAACUAUGCCUGAAUAGGGUGAAGCCAGAGGAAACUCUGGUGGAGGCUCGUAGCGAUUCUGACGUGCAAAUCGAUCGUCAAAUUUGGGUAUAGGGGCGAAAGACUAAUCGA
rnacentral:rRNA from 1 species